rnacentral:rRNA from 1 species
GAUGAACGCUGGCGGCGUGCCUAAUACAUGCAAGUCGGGCGAAGCGGGGACGGGUGAGUAACACGUGGAUAACCUCCUAUAAGACUGGGAUAACUUCGGGAAACCGGAGCUAAACCGACUACUUAUAGAUGGAUCCGCGCUGCAUUAGCGAGUUUGUAAGGUAACGGCUUACCAAGGCAACGAGGCAUAGCCGACCUGAGAGGGUGAUCGGCCACACGGGAACUGAGACACGGUCCAGAGUCCGACGGGAGGCAGCAGUGGGGAAUCUUCCGCAAUGGGCGAAAUCCUGACGGAGCAACGCCGCGUGAGUGAUGAGGGUCUUCGGAUCGUAAACCUCUGUUAUUAGGGAGGCGGUACCUAAUCAGAAAGCCACGGCUAACUACGUGCCAGCAGCCGCGGUAAUAC